rnacentral:rRNA from 1 species
GAUGAACGCUGGCGGCGUGCCUAAUACAUGCAAGUCGAGCGAACAGACGAGGAGCUUGCGCCUCUGACGUUAGCGGCGGACGGGCGAGUAACACGUGGAUAACCUACCUAUAAGACUGGGAUAACUUCGGGAAACCGGAGCUAAUACCGGAUAAUAUAUUGAACCGCAUGGUUCAAUAGUGAAAGACGGUUUUGCUGUCACUUAUAGAUGGAUCCGCGCCGCAUUAGCUAGUUGGUAAGGUAACGGCUUACCAAGGCGACGAUGCGUAGCCGACCUGAGAGGGUGAUCGGCCACCCUGGAACUGAGACACGGUCCAGACUCCUACGGGAGGCAGCAGUAGGGAAUCUUCCGCAAUGGGCGAAAGCCUGACGGAGCACCGCCGCGUGAGUGAUGAAGGUCUUCGGAUCGUAAAACUCUGUUAUUAGGGAAGAACAAAUGUGUAAGUAACUAUGCACGUCUUGACGGUACCUAAUCAGAAAGCCACGGCUAACUACGUG